rnacentral:rRNA from 1 species
UACGGGGGGGGGCAAGCGUUGUUCGGAAUUACUGGGCGUAAAGGGCUCGUAGGCGGCCAACUAAGUCAGACGUGAAAUCCCUCGGCUUAACCGGGGAACUGCAUCUGAUACUGGAUGGCUUGAGUUCGGGAGAGGGAUGCAGAAUUCCAGGUGUAGCGGUGAAAUGCGUAGAUAUCUGGAGGAAUACCGGUGGCGAAGGCGGCAUCCUGGACCGGCAUUGACGCUGAUGAGCGAAAGCUAGGGGAGCAAACGGG